AUCUGAUACUUUGUUUAUGGGUAUAAAAAGGAGGGAACCACCUUCAGUCGUUGAAGUCUGCCGUGGGUUUCGUGCGGAUGCGUGGCUGCGUGGAUUGUGCUCUUACCAGACUGACCGGCUUCCCAGUUCUGUGCCAGGCAAUGGAGUUGAUGAAGCAGUCACGCAACCGUGGUGGGGCUGAUCGAUAAUGAUGAUGAGGCACCAUGCUGGGAAGAGGUCAAGGCACUGGUGGUCUGGUACAGUGACAACCACCUCAACCUCAAUACCAGGAAGACAAAAGAGUUACUCAUUGCAACUGUCUGCUGGAUUACCCUGGAGUCAAAGGAACCCCUUCACAGAAUCAUGAUCCCUGUCUGGCUUCUCAAAAGGAAAUAAGGAAGAGGACAUUAACAACAAACCAUGCCUGCAUGAGG